rnacentral:lncRNA from 1 species
UGAACAUAUAAUUAGCCAUCUAUCCUUGGGAAAGGAUUUUCUCCCCGUGUUCUACAUCAGUGGAUUGGCAUUUUGGAUAGAAGUCAUAUUUCCUUUAAAAUUCAAGAAAGGGAAUCGAGGUGUCCUAAGCACAGUCCUCUCCCUGAUGCUGACAAGGCCCAAUUUAAGAAUUUCCUGUAUUCAGAGUAAGCCAAUAAUUUGAGAAAACAAGUCUGCAAAUCCUCACUGGUGCCCUGCUCAGGUUAUCUUUGAAGCCUGGGAAAAGUAACAGAGAUGAAUUGUUUCAUCUCUCUGACCGAACAGCCUCUCAAGAAGAAAACACUUUUUGAAAAAUGAGAUAAAA